UACGUAGGGGGCAAGCGUUGUCCGGAUUCAUUGGGCGUAAAGAGCUCGUAGGCGGUUCAGUAAGUCAGGUGUGAAAUCUCCGCGCUCAUCGCGGAGCGGCCACCUGAUACUGCUGUGACUCGAGUCCGGUAGGGGAGUGUGGAAUUCCCGGUGUAGCGGUGAAAUGCGCAGAUAUCGGGAGGAACACCAGUGGCGAAGGCGGCACUCUGGGCCGUGACUGACGCUGAGGAGCGAAAGCGUGGGUAGCAAACAGG
rnacentral:rRNA from 1 species